rnacentral:rRNA from 1 species
UACGUAGGGUGCAAGCGUUAAUCGGAGUUACUGGGCGUAAAGCGUGCGCAGGCGGCUUUGCAAGACAGAUGUGAAAUCCCCGGGCUCAACCUGGGAACUGCAUUUGUGACUGCAUAGCUGGAGUGCGGCAGAGGGGGAUGGAAUUCCGCGUGUAGCAGUGAAAUGCGUAGAUAUGCGGAGGAACACCGAUGGCGAAGGCAAUCCCCUGGGCCUGCACUGACGCUCAUGCACGAAAGCGUGGGGAGCAAACAGG